AGAAGCUUACCUCGGAGAAUAAUUUAAUUAAGGAAGAGUUAACGCUACUUUGUGGACCAGACGUUGUGUCUAAGCUGGAGAGAAACGAUAAUGUCACACGUAUUCAAUCUAAUGUUGAAGAAGCUAGUUAAGGAGAAGUGGAAAAGCCAGGACUGAGUAGGUGAUUUUUGUUACAAAGUGCUCACAGAUCAUUGCCUUUUUGGUGCAGUGUUUGUUGUCCUACUAACCUAUACCCUCCUUUAACUCCCUUUCUGAGUAUGACUGUAACAUAUAUUUCUUAUGAUUCUAACCCCAGUGUUAAAAGAGUCUUGAGUCUGUUUAACUUAGUCUUUAAAUUAACUUCAGUAGCUCAGAAAGUCUUCAAGUGAAU
rnacentral:misc_RNA from 1 species